AAGUCGUAACAAGGUCUCCGUUGGUGAACCAGCGGAGGGAUCAUUACAGAGUUACUACUCCAAACCCAUUGUGAACCUUACCUAUGUUCUGUUGCCUCGGCGGCGUCGGUCAGCGCCCCUCUGAGAAGAGGACGAUGCCCCUCCCGCCGGCAGCACCAAACUCUUGAAUUUUACAGCGGAUUACAGUUCUGAUUUGAAAACAAAAAACAAGUUAAAACUUUCAACAACGGAUCUCUUGGUUCUG
rnacentral:misc_RNA from 1 species